CCUACGGGUGGCUGCAGUGGGGAAUAUUGCACAAUGGGCGCAAGCCUGAUGCAGCCAUGCCGCGUGUGUGAAGAAGGCCUUCGGGUUGUAAAGCACUUUCAGCGGGGAGGAAGGCGUUAAGGUUAAUAACCUUGGCGAUUGACGUUACCCGCAGAAGAAGCACCGGCUAACUCCGUGCCAGCAGCCGCGGUAAUACGGAGGGUGCAAGCGUUAAUCGGAAUUACUGGGCGUAAAGCGCACGCAGGCGGUCUGUCAAGUCGGAUGUGAAAUCCCCGGGCUCAACCUGGGAACUGCAUUCGAAACUGGCAGGCUAGAGUCUUGUAGAGGGGGGUAGAAUUCCAGGGGUAGCGGUGAAAUGCGUAGAGAUCUGGAGGAAUACCGGUGGCGAAGGCGGCCCCCUGGACAAAGACUGACGCUCAGGUGCGAAAGCGUGGGGAGCAAACAGGAUUAGAUACCCCGGUAGUC
rnacentral:rRNA from 1 species